AGUGAAUAGAUACCCUGGUAGUCCACGCCGUAAACGAUGCAUACUAGGAAUGUGGAGAAAUCGACCCUCUGCGUUUCGAAAGCUAACGCGUUAAGUAUGCCGCCUGGGUAGUACGGCCGCAAGGCUAAAACUCAAAGGAAUUGACGGGGACCCGCACAAGCGGUGGAACAUGUGGUUUAAUUCGUCAGCAAGCGAAGAACCUUACCAGGGCUUGACAUCCCGCGAAUCUCUAGGAAACUAGAGAGUGCCGUAAGGAGCGCGGUGACAGGUGCUGCACGGCCGUCGUCAGCUCGUGCUGUGAAGUGUCCCGUUAAGUCGGUCAACGAGCGCAACCCCUAUUGCAUGUUGUAUUUUUCAUGCGAGACUGCCGGUGUUAAAUCGGAGGAAGGUGGGGAUGACGUCAGGUCAGCGUGGCUCUUACGUCCUGGGCGACACACGUGUUACAAUGGGUAGAUCAAAGGGUCGCUAAGCCGAAAGGU
rnacentral:rRNA from 1 species